AUACGGAGGAUCCGAGCGUUAUCCGGAUUUAUUGGGUUUAAAGGGAGCGUAGAUGGGUUGUUAAGUCAGUUGUGAAAGUUUGCGGCUCAACCGUAAAAUUGCAAUUGAUACUGGCAGUCUUGAGUACAGUUGAGGUAGGCGGAAUUCGUGGUGUAGCGGUGAAAUGCUUAGAUAUCACGAAGAACUCCGAUUGCGAAGGCAGCUUACUAAACUGCAACUGACAUUGAUGCUCGAAAGUGUGGGUAUCAAACAGGAUUAGAUACCCUGGUAGUCCACACGGUAAACGAUGAAUACUCGCUGUAGGCGAUACACAGUCUGCGGCCACGCGAAAGCAUUAAGUAUUCCACCUGGGGAGUACGCCGGCAACGGUGAA
rnacentral:rRNA from 1 species